rnacentral:rRNA from 1 species
AACGUAGGUGGCGAGCGUUAUCCGGAUUUACUGGGCGUAAAGCGCGCGCAGGCGGUUUCUUAAGUCUGAUGUGAAAGCCCCCGGCUCAACCGGGGAGGGUCAUUGGAAACUGGGAAACUUGAGUGCAGAAGAGGAAAGUGGAAUUCCAAGUGUAGCGGUGAAAUGCGUAGAGAUUUGGAGGAACACCAGUGGCGAAGGCGACUUUCUGGUCUGUAACUGACGCUGAGGCGCGAAAGCGUGGGGAGCAAACAGG